UCCAUUUCUAUUGUUCUCGAAAAGGCCUUCAGAACAUUCUUUACAACAAGCUGUCAACUUAGUGGCAAACAAUCCAUUACCUUCUAACGCGGGCGUGCUUAAAGUUUGAUCAAGAAAAAAUACUUUCAAAAAUUGGUACGAGAGUAGUACAGUUCGAGAGAAGAGCUGAUAGAGGUGUAUAGCACGAAGCUUGAAGAACAGCCUUGGAAAGAGAGUAAAGUGUCUUCCUUAACAGUGAGUAGGUUCAGAAAUGUUUUUUUCUUACAUCGGCACCGUGUUUGGGAUUACAGUCCUUCAACUGUUAUCACAAAGCUCCGUCCAUGGUAAGUAUAUUAUCCAAUAAUCGAUAAUAGUCUUAAACAGCGGCCGCCGAGGCAAGGCUGGCUUUAUUGGAUUCGAUUCCGGAAAGUGAAGCUUGCGACAUUAGCCACACAAAUAUAUUCUUCAAAAAUUUAAAAACAUAUAUUAUGAGAAAGGAGAAAUAUGACUGCGCAAAUGAAAAAGAAAGAACAACAAAAAAAGAAAAGAAAAAAAAAGGGGAAAA
rnacentral:lncRNA from 1 species